rnacentral:lncRNA from 1 species
CGUCAUAACAUCAUAUUCCAUAGAUGUCACCAUAUUUAUUCAGUUGAAAUCCAUCACAGCAUUAACCAUGCAUAUGCUAUAUAGAAGCAACUAAAGAUUAAUUCGAAUUCAUUCACCAAAACCCAGCUAGCCCAUAUUUCGAACGUAUGUGGAGGCAUGAGGCCAACUCCGUUGUGUUGACCUCCGUUUGGAUGAGGUCGUCUAAUACACUAAGUGUCAAGGUUAUUUAUGUUAAUCUGUCAAAAAUAACAUGUUUUGUGGUUAAGCCUCAUUAUGUCACAUUUUUGUCGCUAAAGAUAUGAACAUUAUUGUGCAAAGUGUCA